ensembl:lncRNA
CGCAUCCCAUGUUCAAAUCUGUGUCAUCCUGUGUGUAUGGAGGCCCCGCAUGCUUCUUGUAGGAACAAACUCCCAGGCAAGGCAGAGAUCCACUUUAGGGUCGUUGCCCACUUUUAGUGAUAAAGCAUCAGAGAAACACAGUCACUCCUUCAAGAAGGUGUCUGGGCUCAUCCCCGAGGUGGUGGUAAGAAUCCCAGUGAUUUUGCUAUAGGAAUAUUCCCCACUGUUUGUUGCUGGGAUGAGGCUCACGGUGUGGAACUCCUCUGCCUUGCCUCCUUUCAGGUCCAAGUCAGGCUUUUCUUUCCAUUUCAGAGCAUGGGGUGGGUAAGGAUUUAGCUUGUAAUCAUAUUUCUCAGCUUUAAGAUGUUGUUCGAAAUACCCACCCUCUUUUUAAAAGUCUUCUGUGCAUUCUUAAUCAUUCCCAUUAUAUCCUUUGGCUGGCAAAUAUAUUUUAAAGUGAUCCUAACAAGGGCACAUUUUUUUUUCUAACUUUAAUAAGAUGAAUGAUCUGUUAAUAAGAGGGAAAGAUCUUUAAAUACUGUUUCCUCCUGCCCUGUUGGCUCCUAUUUCCAAUUUCACUUUUGAGUUUUCAAUUUCCAUAAAAAGGCUGUAUAAAUCAGUCUUUUCCUUGCCUACAUAGUCCUUUGUCCCCUGAAAUAAAAGUCACCAUGAAGUGUAGUGGGUUUAGCCUGAAGCAUCUCCAAUAAUGAAAUGGAAAAGGAAAGGAAGGUGUGAGUAAUAAAGCUGCAACUGCUCAUUAUUCAAGUCUCUGAGAGCAGAGACUGUAUUUUGCUGACAGAGAACUGUUAGAAGAAAUGGAAGACUAGCCAAGGCCAACUUCGAGUAUUUGCUUUUCUCAUCUAUUUAUAUAUGCUUGUAGGUAGCUCUGUAGGGUGAAGAAUUUGGGGAGCCCCAUUCUUGUCACAGCUGCCCUGCAGAAGCUACCAGCACAGCUCCCCGUACAUGUAGACUAUAAAUCCAUCAAUAGUACGUAUCACAGACUUAAUGACAAAUGCCAAGACAGUGCAAUCUGCAUGUCACUCUUAGAGUCUCAGGGCUAAAUCAGAACUAUUUUUACAGGGUUGGGAUGUUUCAUAACCCCAGAGAACACUAACUCUCACCAGAUGUGUAUGGAAAGCAAGCAAACUGCUCCCUCCAAAGGAAAACGCGAUUUCCAGUUACAAAUAAGUGCUAACUCUGCCUGUCUUUCCUCUGUGGUACCACAAUCCAUGGAGUGUUGUGCAAUUGUUUAAUUGUGUGAGUGUUUCCAUUCUUGAACAAGUAUAAUCUCAAACAAACUGUCCUGGAAAGCAUUUGAAUUCCUCAAGACCAUUUUCUGCGUCGGGAGUCAGGUUUCCUGACUGCCUGCUCUGGUCAGCCGCAUUACCGUAACCCUACAUGUUAACCCUCGGUCUUUGGUAACUGCUGUUUACCAAAAUAUUUUAUGGAAUGUGGUCACUUUACAGUAAAACCAAAAAUAUCUGUGCAAUUUCGCAUUCUUAGGGGGCAAUUUCAUGGAUCUCAUUCCCACCAAACAAACCUGGUUAUGUUAGCAACCAUGCAUUUGCUUACCGCAAACAUUUAUUUAACACCUUGUGUGUCUAGGUUAGAAGGUCAUGGUUUCUAGGAGAAGUUGUCUAGGGAAGUGACAUUGGCCACUUCUUUAGAUAUAUUUUUAAGGAAAAGCUUAGCCUCUUCUCUACUCAGAACUGCAAGUGUAAUAUUUAUUUUAAGCAUCCUAGGGCUGAUGUUUUUAGAAACGGUUUUGAUUAUCUUUAGUAAUAACGGAGGUGGUACUAACCUGACUUCCAUCUUUUGUUGGACUGAUGCUCACCACAGGCAAAAGAAAAAAUAGUUCUGUAUUCAUCCCUCAUUGAAUAGCCAGGAGUCCAGGGGUUGGGCCAGGUAUUGAGCGUACAUCUGUUACACCUUGUUCUUGCCCUUGGGAUGCUCAUAGCCUAGCAGGGGAGGUGGACACUGCUGCUGUAAUGGGGGUGUGGGGGGUGUAAAGUGCUAUAGAAGUUCCGACAGAGGCCCUUCACUAGCAUUCUUGCAACACCCUUGCUAGAGACUGAAACAAAGAUACUUUCUGGAACAUAUUUUUAUAUUUUUCUCCUUGUUUAUUACUUCCACCCUCUAUGGCUGCUUGGUUUCUCUUCCUGAAGCAAACAUCUCUCUGUGCAGCUGUGUAUAUUUGAAGGAAGAUGGGUUGACCCUUGGGGGAUGGCAGGGAUGAAUAGUUGCUCUGUCUCUAGGUGACUUUGGGGGAGACCGUGUUCUCUCUAUACUUGUUUUAAUUCUGGUUGGGGGUGGAGGGUUCUCAAAGUCCUCCCUCCUUUUCUCAGACCUGGGUGAAAACCCGGGGACCUAUCUGAGGCAGGAAACAGCAGUGUCCACUUUGCCCCUUCCUCUUUCCNNNNNNNNNNNNNNNNNNNNNNNNNNNNNNNNNNNNNNNNNNNNNNNNNNNNNNNNNNNNNNNNNNNNNNNNNNNNNNNNNNNNNNNNNNNNNNNNNNNNNNNNCUGCUGAAUCAUUUGGACUCUGCUUAGGAAGGUCUCUGAGAACUGGACAAAGUAUGCCUUUGAGAAAAUAACUGACUAGAAGGCAUUGUCCAUCAGGCGAGGUCUCACGACUGUGCUUUGGUGACUUUUUCCAAUCCUGGACACCCCACAUUUCUCUUCUCUGAAGGAAGCUAGUUCAGUGAGAGAAGCUGCAUGGGAGGCUAUAUGCAGACCAUCCUUCCCCUGACAUUUGAGGAGAUGGGAAUUAGGCCAUUGCAUUCUUUCUUAUAAAAAGACUUGACGGCUUGCCCUGGCGUCUUUUCCCCCAUAGCCAUAACCCAUCAAAAGUGCAUUGUAACUGAGCCUGCCAAAGGGAAUUUGAGACGCUGCAUAAAGCUGUGCUUCUCAUUUUCCCUUAACCUCAAGCCUUGGACAUCCUGAUUCCUCCCUUGGCCUCAAGGUCAUAAGAAGCCCAAACAAAUAAAGAACCUUGUUUAAUGGUGCAGAUGCCAAGGUAGUGAAAGGAAGAGGGUGUAGGCAAACUCAGCGCUUUGAGAAUACUUGGAGGAUACAUGAGAUGAGUGCGAUUCCAUGCCUCUCAUGCAGUUUGAAAGUGUGUUCUUUCAAAAACCCAGUGUCUUUGGAGUCCUCCUGUGUGCGGUCCUUGGCCCUUUCUUACCCUCAUCCUUCACCCAUACUCUGCCUUUUUAGGCCAUCUAGCUACUUGCAGAUAACACUUGUCCUUAGUUUCCACCUCUGCUGUCACAAAUUCCAGAUAGAUGAACCUCUUAAAGGGAAAAAAAAAAUAAUCACAAACACACAUGUACACACACUUUAUCAUAAUAGGGCUGUUAUCUGGCUUCCUCUGUGACCUUCUCCACACACAUCUAUCUGAUAGGGAGACACAUAUUUUCUUUGCAGUUUGAAGACUUCCUUUGAAACCUUCUCAUCAGGUUUGAAUAGUUCACGCUCUGUUUUUGAGUAACUUUCUUUUGUCUUGUUUUGCACUGGGGUAUACUCUGAGGGAGAGCAGAAAAGCACAUUUUUUAGUGAAAUAUUAUACUUUGUAAGCCAGUUGUCUGUCUUUUGUAACGUUUAUUUAUGACAGAGUGGCAGUACAGAGGGGAGUGGAGAUGAAGGCAGGACUUGGUGUUGGUGUUUUGACCACACCUGCUGGGAACAGGUGGAGGAGGAAGAGGGAACGCUUGGCAACGACUGAUAGAUGGAUGGCCUUCCUACACCCAGGGGGUCUUGGCUUCUACCGUCAGUUACAGGGAGGGCCUCUCUCCCCACUUCCCUGGCUCCUAACUCAGGAGUCUCUACUGCAUUUGGAUCAUCACCUGUCACAUUCAGGAAAGAGGCAAUAUGAUGGGCUUUGCAUAAGGAAUCUUUUUUUUUUUUUUUUUUUUUUUUUUUUUCCCUAUGGCCACAUCCUUAGCUGUGGAAGUUCCCCAGCCAGGGAUUGAAUCCAAGCUACAGCUAUGACCUGCAACGCUGGAUCCCUGAACCCACUGUCCUGGGCCAGGGAUUGAACCCAUACCUACUCAGCAACCCAAGCCACUGUGGUUGGAUCCUUAAACCACUGUGCCAUGGCAGGAACUCUGAGGAAUUCUUUACUCAACUUGGCAUGAUAUUUUUGAGUCUUCCCUUCUUGACUUCAACUACAUCUUUUUUGUUUUGAUUUGUUUUUCCCCCAAGAUCUUUAUUUCAUCAGAAUUAGAACUGUUGAUCACCACAAUGAUCUGACUUGCCUGAGUUGAACACCCAGACACAACUUUAAGGGAGAGAAACUGUCUGAAAGCUGCCUAGCUCCACUCUCCUGAAUCAGAAUCCCUGGGCCUAGAAGCCCCAAGGUCCUGAAACCAGCCUUGAGGUCUCUCUUUUCCCUCACUGGUCCUGUAAUGUGUGGACACUCCUUGAUGCUGCAGAUAAGAUGUGGUCCCUCACUGGUCCUGUGUGAUGGAGAUAGGGUGUGGUACCCCUAUCCCUGACAGCACGUGCUUCCAGGGGCCUGUCAUCCAACACUGGAAACACUGUUUUCUUCGAUCCUCCCAGUGACACGAGGGGUCCUUUGCAAAACAGAAGGACAAAAUAAGGGAGUAAUUCCAGACCACCAUCAAAGGUGAAACGAAUUGUCUUAGUGACUGAGUCCUGGUCUUAUUGGUAUUAACAUCACCUUCCAUGCCUCAGAUGCCAGCAGUAGCCUCAGAGGACAUGAGCACAGGAUGCCCCAGGAUCACUGUAUUACACUGCAGACUCUUUGAUAGGCCUGCCCAUAAGUAGAACUCUCAGUGAAAGCCUACCUGUCCUUUCCCAUUCUAGCCAACCCCAUCCCAGUCUUCACAGGAAGUCGUCUCUUCUCUCUGAAGUGCAGCAUCAACCUGUGUGAUCUUGCCCUGCCUUAAAUACUCAUGCAAAAAAAAACAUGAAACCUUGCUCCCAGCAGCUUAGUGGUAUCAGGAGAGGGACUUUGCCUUCAGUGAGGUCCAACACCAAGAAUUCUCUCCCUCUGAAUCUGGGAGUUGACAGGCUUCCUGACAUGUUGUGCUGUCCUGGGCUGUGACUGCCCUCAGUCCAUUGCAGGAGGCAGAGAAGAUGCAGAGGUGUCCUGGGGAAUAAGGGAUGCAGGCAGAGGGGGCCAUGGGUCUUCCUCCAGGGUAAGCCAGGGGAGGAGUCAGCAAACUUUUCCUGUAAAGGGACAGGCUGAACACAGUCUGCGUUGCCACCCCUCACCUCUGCUAUUGUAGCAGGAAGUGGGCCAUGCAUGGACAGGGGCGUGGCUACGUUCCAAUAAAACCUUAUUUGCAAAAAUAGGCCGCAGGUCAGAUUUGGUCUACAGGCUGUGGUUGCUGGGCCCUAGGACAGACUGUCACAAUGUCCACCUCUGAUGGGAGAUUAGCUUCUCUUUGGCACAGAGUGGUCCUCCUUUUGGAAGCACCAGAAAGGGUAGGGAGAUGAUUUUUAAUCAGUCAAUGAUCAAAUACAAAAGAACCUCUUCUCCAGAAAUAUGAUAUGUCACUCUUUAUGAUAGCAAAAGCACAAAACAGGUCACCUCUCUUUGUAGAUCUUCCGGAAUCUAGCUUUUCCUUUUGACCUUUGCAUUUUCGCUCCCAGAACAAAAUCCCAAGUGAUGUUGCCUCGGUCCAUGUCCGUUUUGUAGACCACGUUAACAUGUCUUAAUACACUGUAUGGGGAAAAAAAAUAAACGUUAGCCUUAGAUUUCUUUGUUUUCUAUGGUUCCUGUUGUACAGAAGAAAGACAAACUGUAAAUAAUGUAUAUUUAAUAAAGAGAGAAUUUUGUAUGAUUUUGUGUG